GGUUCGAUGGCGUAGUUGGUUAUCGCAUCUGUCUAACAUCUGUUCACAGAAGGUCCUCAGUUCGAACCUGGGUCGAAUCA